GACGAACGCUGGCGGCGUGCCCAAUACAUGCAAGUUGAGCGAUGAAGAUUGGUGCUUGCACCAAUUUGAAGAGCAGCGAACGGGUGAGUAACGCGUGGGGAAUCUGCCUUUGAGCGGGGGACAACAUUUGGAAACGAAUGCUAAUACCGCAUAACAACUUUAAACAUAAGUUUUAAGUUUGAAAGAUGCAAUUGCAUCACUCAAAGAUGAUCCCGCGUUGUAUUAGCUAGUUGGUGAGGUAAAGGCUCACCAAGGCGAUGAUACAUAGCCGACCUGAGAGGGUGGUAGGGCACAAUGGGAAUGGGACAAGGGCCAAAACCCCAAGGGGAGGAGCAAUAGGGAAACUUCGGCAAAGGAGGAAAAUCUGAACGAGGAAAGGCGCGUGGGGGAAGAAAGUUUUCGGAACGGAAAAAUCUGUUGAUAGGGAAGGACGUUAGUGAGAGUGAAAAGCUCAUCAAGUGACGGUAACUACCCAGAAAGGGACGGCUAACUACGUG
rnacentral:rRNA from 1 species